rnacentral:rRNA from 1 species
UACGUAGGGGGCUAGCGUUGUCCGGAAUUAUUGGGCGUAAAGAGCGUGUAGGCGGCCAGAUAAGUCCGCUGUGAAAUCUCGAGGCUCAACUUCGAGCUGUCGGUGGAAACUGUCUGGCUAGAGUCCGGAAGAGGAGAAUGGAAUUCCUGGUGUAGCGGUGAAAUGCGCAGAUAUCAGGAAGAACACCCGUGGCGAAGGCGGUUCUCUGGGACGGUACUGACGCUGAGACGCGAAAGCGUGGGGAGCGAACAGG